rnacentral:rRNA from 1 species
GUACACUCCUGCGGGAGGCAGCAGUAGGGAAUCUUCGGCAAUGGGGGCAACCCUGACCGAGCAACGCCGCGUGAGUGAAGAAGGUUUUCGGAUCGUAAAGCUCUGUUGUAAGUCAAGAACGAGUGUGAGAGUGGAAAGUUCACACUGUGACGGUAGCUUACCAGAAAGGGACGGCUAACUACGUGCCAGCAGCCGCGGUAAUACGUAGGUCCCGAGCGUUGUCCGGAUUUAUUGGGCGUAAAGCGAGCGCAGGCGGUUUGAUAAGUCUGAAGUUAAAGGCUGUGGCUCAACCAUAGUUCGCUUUGGAAACUGUCAAACUUGAGUGCAGAAGGGGAGAGUGGAAUUCCAUGUGUAGCGGUGAAAUGCGUAGAUAUAUGGAGGAACACCGGUGGCGAAAGCGGCUCUCUGGUCUGUAACUGACGCUGAGGCUCGAAAGCGUGGGGAGCGAACAGGAUUAGAAACCCGUGUAGUCCCAUGA